rnacentral:tRNA from 1 species
UCGAGUAGCUCAAUAGGUAGAGCGGCGGUCUAGAUACCCGAAGAUGCGAGUUCAAAUCCCGCUCGAG